rnacentral:ribozyme from 1 species
AGGGGCGCGAAAACGCCCCCUUUCCUAAAACCGCCGUCGCCCGUCCAAAGCCGGGAUGUGAAAGGUUGAUGGGGAA